GACGAACGCUGGCGGCGUGCUUAACACAUGCAAGUCGAGCGGUAAGGCCCUUUCGGGGGUACACGAGCGGCGAACGGGUGAGUAACACGUGGGUGACCUGCCCUCAGCUCUGGGAUAAGCCUGGGAAACUGGGUCUAAUACCGGAUAUGACUCCAUGACGCAUGUCGUGGGGUGGAAAGCCUUGUGCGGCUGGGGAUGGGCCCGCGGCCUAUCAGCUUGUUGGUGGGGNGAUGGCCUACCAAGGCGACGACGGGUAGCCGGCCUGAGAGGGCGACCGGCCACACUGGGACUGAGACACGGCCCAGACUCCUACGGGAGGCAGCAGUGGGGAAUCUUGCGCAAUGGGCGAAAGCCUGACGCAGCGACGCCGCGUGAGGGAUGACGGCCU
rnacentral:rRNA from 1 species